GCCUGGUCGUUAAAGUAUACAUGCACAGCGGUUGUCAGAUCAAUACUAUUUUAAUCAAAGAUAAUGUCUACGGAUGCAAAAGUCUUAAACAAUCUGGACACGGGUGCGUGAACUUUACUUUUAAGUUUAGAAAGGUCGAUCUAAGAUUAUUAGAAUUGAUGACCAACGUCCAUCUGCCAGUAUUUUCAGUACCGUGAACAUCGAGGACGAUAAUGUGGUUUGCUUGAUAGAUUGAUUAAAAAACAAAUUUCCGCAAUUUCACAAUUCAAACCUGGACAAGCAUUCAAUUAUUUUGCCAUUCGGAGCCUAUAGGGUUUUAGUUUUGCUUAUUUGUGAAGGCUAUAUAUAUGGUGACCUGAACUAGAGGGCGUUGAUGGGGAAUUAUGUAAUUGAGAAUAGUUGACAAAAUAUAAAUAAUAGAGACAAUGGACCAAGAAAAAAAUAAAAAAGCUAGAAUAAUGGUGUUAAAAUAUAUAUAGAGAAGAGAAUAAUUGGCAAAAAGUAUAAAGAAUAGAGAAAAAUUGCCUAAAAUAUCAAAGAAAACAGAAAUUAAGAACCCUGAAUCCAG
rnacentral:lncRNA from 1 species